GUGGAGGCCGGCAAGGGCGGUCGAUUUCUCCUAGGAGCCCCUGACUCACACCCACCGUCAGAGGCCCCCGGGAGUGAAGAAGACAGCCUUCCCACCCGUUUCCAGCAGGGCUGGCUGCAUCCAGGAAGACAGCGCUGCUGGGAGGCAGCAAAUAGAAGAUACGGUCCACUUUUAUCUUUCCCCGCUCAGAAAAUAAAGAUACCACAGCCCAGG